rnacentral:rRNA from 1 species
CCUACGGGAGGCAGCAGUGGGGAAUAUUGCACAAUGGGGGAAACCCUGAUGCAGCGACGCCGCGUGAGUGAAGAAGGAUUUCGGUAUGUAAAGCUCUAUCAGCAGGGAAGAAAAUGACGGUACCUGAGUAAGAAGCCCCGGCGAACGACGUGCCAGCAGCCGCGGUAAUACGUAGGGGGCAAGCGUUAUCCGGAUUUACUGGGUGUAAAGGGAGCGUAGACGGCAGCACAAGGCUGGAGUGAAAUGCCGGGGCUUAACCCCGGAACUGCUUUGGAAACUGUGCAGCUAGAGUGCAUGAGAGGUAAGUGGAAUUCCUAGUGUAGCUGUGCAAUGCGUAGAUAUUAGGAGGCACACCAGUGGCGACGGCGGCUUACUGGACUGUAACUGCCGUUGAGGCUCGAACGCGUGGGGAGCACACAGGAUUAGAUACCCCUGUAGUC